CGAGGCAGCAGUGAGGAAUAUUGGUCAAUGGGCGCGAGCCUGAACCAGCCAAGUAGCGUGAAGGAUGACUGCCCUACGGGUUGUAAACUUCUUUUAUAAAGGAAUAAAGUGAGGCACGUGUGCCUUUUUGUAUGUACUUUAUGAAUAAGGAUCGGCUAACUCCGUGCCAGCAGCCGCAGUAAUACGGAGGAUCCGAGCGUUAUCCGGAUUUAUUGGGCUUAAAGGGAGCGUAGAUGGGUUGUUAAGUCAGUUGUGAAAGUUUGCGGCUCAACCGUAAAAUUGCAAUUGAUACUGGCAGCCUUGAG
rnacentral:rRNA from 1 species